UACGUAGGGUGCAAGCGUUAAUCGGAAUUACUGGGCGUAAAGCGUGCGCAGGCGGUUUUGUAAGACUGUCGUGAAAUCCCCGGGCUCAACCUGGGAAUGGCGAUGGUGACUGCAAGGCUAGAAUCUGGCAGAGGGGGGUAGAAUUCCACGUGUAGCAGUGAAAUGCGUAGAGAUGUGGAGGAACACCGAUGGCGAAGGCAGCCCCCUGGGUCAAGAUUGACGCUCAUGCACGAAAGCGUGGGGAGCAAACAGG
rnacentral:rRNA from 1 species